rnacentral:rRNA from 1 species
UACGUAGGGUGCGAGCGUUGUCCGGAAUUAUUGGGCGUAAAGAGCUCGUAGGCGGUGUGUCGCGUCGGCCGUGAAAACCUGCAGCUUAACUGUGGGCUUGCGGUCGAUACGGGCAUCACUGGAGUUCGGCAGGGGAGACUGGAAUUCCUGGUGUAGCGGUGAAAUGCGCAGAUAUCAGGAGGAACACCGGUGGCGAAAGCGGCUCUCUGGAACGGUACUGACGCUGAGACGCGAAAGCGUGGGGAGCGAACAGG